AUUGAACGCUGGCGGCGUGCUUAACACAUGCAAGUCGAACGUGAAAGUCCUUCGGGGCGAGUAAAGUGGCGCACGGGUGAGUAACGCGUGGAUAAUCUACCCUUAAGAUGGGGAUAACGGCUGGAAACGGUCGCUAAUACCGAAUACGCUCCCGAUUUUAUCGUUGGGGGGAAAGAUGGCCUCUGCUUGCAAGCUAUCGCUUAAGGAUGAGUCCGCGUCCCAUUAGCUAGUUGGCGGGGUAACGGCCCACCAAGGCGACGAUGGGUAGCCGGUCUGAGAGGAUGACCGGCCACACUGGAACUGGAACACGGUCCAGACUCCUACGGGAGGCAGCAGUGGGGAAUAUUGCGCAAUGGGCGAAAGCCUGACGCAGCGACGCCGCGUGAGGGAUGAAGGUUCUCGGAUCGUAAACCUCUGUCAGGGGGGAAGAAACCCCCUCGUGUGAAUAAUGCGAGGGCUUGACGGUACCCCCAAAGGAAGCACCGGCUAACUCCGUGCCAGCAGCCGCGGUAAUACGGAGGGUGCAAGCGUUAAUCGGAAUCACUGGGCGUAAAGCGCACGUAGGCGGCUUGGUAAGUCAGGGGUGAGAUCCCACAGCCCAACUGUGGAACUGCCUUUGAUACUGCCAGGCUUGAGUACCGGAGAGGGUGGCGGAAUUCCAGGUGUAGGANUGAAAUCCGUAGAUAUCUGGAGGAACACCGGUGGCGANNCGGCCACCUGGACGGUAACUGACGCUGANGUGCGAAAGCGUGGGUAGCAAACAGGAUUAGAUACCCUGNUAGUCCACGCUGUAAACGAUGGGUGCUGGGUGCUGGGAUGUAUGUCUCGGNGCCGUANCUAACGCGAUAAGCACCCNGCCNGGGGAGUACGGUCGCAAGNCUGAAACUCAAAGAAAUUGACGGGGGCCCGCACAAGCGGUGGAGUAUUGUGGUUUAAUUCGAUGCUACGCGAGAAUCUUACCCCAGGCUUGACAUCUAGGACCUUCGGAAUGAAGGGGGUGCCCUUCGGGGAGCCUAGACAGGUGCUGCAUGCCUGUCGUC
rnacentral:rRNA from 1 species